UACGUAGGGGGCAAGCGUUGUCCGGAAUCAUUGGGCGUAAAGAGCGUGUAGGCGGCUUGGUAAGUCCGCUGUGAAAGUCCAGGGCUCAACCCUGGAAUGCCGGUGGAAACUGUCAAGCUUGAGUCCGGAAGAGGCGAGUGGAAUCCUGGUGUAGCGGUGAAAUGCGCAGAUAUCGUCAAGAACACCGAUAGUGAAGACAGCUAACUAGACUUAUACUGACGCUGAGGCACGAAAGUGUGGGGA
rnacentral:rRNA from 1 species